UCAGCUUCAAGCCUUUUGCAGAAUCGACACUUAAGGGUAAUACCGUUUGUACCGAUCCCUUACCAAAAGACUCGGUUCCCAUCAAAACCGCACGAUUAUGAUCCUGCAAAGCGCCGGCAACAAUUUCUGAAGCUGAGGCAGAACCACCAUUGAUUAAGACAACCAGUGGAACCCCCUGUGAAGGAUCAUCAGCGGUGGCGUUAAAUCGUAGCUCAGAGUUUGGGAUACGCCCUUCGGUGUAAACAAUUAAGCCUUCGCUGAUGAAAGCAUCGGUAACACCAACCGCAGCCUGAAGAACACCACCAGGGUUGUUGCGAAG
rnacentral:ncRNA from 1 species